rnacentral:misc_RNA from 1 species
UUAAAAUUAAAUCGCUGUACAACAUUAGUCAGUAAGUCGAGAGUUUCAUAUUUUGAAUCUGCUUUAUUUUCUUGACCUAUGGUAGCAUAAAUUCUAAUCAGUUGUUCUAAAUGGCUUACGAACGGAACGUCUAAGGUGGUGCUAGUAGGUGUAAGGGGUGUGGUACAUCUUGUUACUUCUGAUUAAUAGAUUCUUCUAUUAUUGAGAUUAGUUGCGGUCUUUGCUUCAAAAUUAUCUAAACAUGCAAAAUUAUAUCAUCACCUCAAUAGAUCUUGCUCAGUUGCCAACAGGCAGCUUGUCUAUAAGACUAUUUUCUCAGAAUGAAUGUAUCAAAUAAAAAUGAGCUUAGGCAUGCUCCAUUGUUCAAAGAAACUUAAAAGUAUAAAAUUCAUUGUAGAUGUUGCAGAACAGAGCAUCUGUACAAAACAUUAUAAAACAAGUAGAAUGUUAAGAUUAGCAAGAACAUAACGUUUUAUAUAUGAAAAGAAUAAUGAAAUCGGUAUUGCUAUAAGUUUUAAGGACCAAAAUUAACAGCAGUUACAGUUUUCUAAUGCAGACCGGCAUAUUAAAAGUAAUCUUUCGUCUUGCAUAUUAAACAUUAAAAAAACUAUUUCGGAAUACGAAGAUUGAUCAGUGUUGUAGUAUAGAUGGAUAUCCCUUAUCUGCUUCAUAUGAAAUAUUGCAUAUAUAAUCAUUAUAAAUAAAUGCAAAUACCAAAGUGAAGGUUCUUUUUACGUAUAUUAUAACAAUAAUAUCAUAAACAGGAGAACGUUAGUCUGUAAAUGCCGUCUGUGAAAAGACGCACGCAGUAAAUGACCUUCAUACAAUAUACAACAAGAGCCGCAGAAAAACAAAAUUGAUCCGCACAUUCUUUCAAGCCUUUAAUAGAAGUGUAUCCUUUCUAUUAAGACAUGUUUAUGUAUAACAUAUGUCAAUCAUUUACGUAUGCAACAUGUUCCAAUAAUCAACCCACGUACAGUAAAGAAUCAUAAAGGGAAGUCAGUCAUUUUUCGAUCGUGGUUUCACGCUAACAUGGCAUGCACCAAGUGUAGAUCUAUACGGUACCUGAAAGGUUUAGUUUUGGAAUGGAUUUAAAAGUAACUAAACAUGAUUAAAGAGCAGCUUUUAAUACUUAGUAUAUUAUGUGUUUGGACGGCUACCAUAUAUGCAGAGACCGCGGGUUUGGUAAACGAAUUUAAAAUUGAAGACUCGAACAAUGGCACAGAUACGAAUGAAACAGAACAUCAUAACUUGACAAAGCCUAUCCUGUCAUCAAAGAUAAUAAAUAAAAAGCAAAGAACAACUUCGAAUGAAACAAAAACGAAAACAAAUCUAACAGAAAAUGGCGCACUUUUAUACGACUCUUCUAUGUAUACAGAAUCUGAUUUAGAAGAAACAAAGUCCACUGAUACCAGUGAAUUGGAUGGCCCUUGAUACUAAAGAAAAGGAAGCAAAUAACACAAAAGAAAAACAUAAAAGAAAGCAAGAAAACAAAAAAGAAGAAAUAUCGUCAGUUUACACAGAAUCUGAUCUGGAAGCAACAGCAUCUCAAGAUGAGAAAAAGAACAGUGGCAAUCAAGAAAAAGACAAAAGGUCCGCAGGAUCAUAUUUAGUUGUACUGCACAAGAGAGACAUAAAUCAUGCUGAACAAGAAGAGGGAUCAGGUGAAGGUUCUGGACAAGAACCAGAUAAUACGCUUUAGUCAUAAUAAAACAAUCAACAUUACUGGCAUUUAUAUUCGUCUUUAAAAUAUAAAUGCAGAAUACUAUUUAAUCUUUGACCCUUUCAAAUUUAUAUUGAAGGACUCAAACAAGUCUUAAGCAAAUGCUACAUAUGUUUAAAUUUGAUGAUUUAUUUUUUGAAGAUAUCUUAAAUUGAUCGUAAUAUACAGGUAAACUCAAGUUAGUUUAAGUUGUAUCAUUCCAUUUUUUUCAAAGGUAAUUGUUCAAUUGUAAUAAUAACGUUGAACUAUUUUAGUAUGAAUUAAGUGUUACAUAUUUUAAGGCCCA